rnacentral:rRNA from 1 species
UGGGGAAUAUUGCACAAUGGGCGCAAGCCUGAUGCAGCCAUGCCGCGUGUAUGAAGAAGGCCUUCGGGUUGUAAAGUACUUUCAGCGGGGAGGAAGGUGUUGAGGCUAAUAACCUCAGCAAUUGACGUUACCCGCAGAAGAAGCACCGGCUAACUCCGUGCCAGCAGCCGCGGUAAUACGGUGGGUGCAAGCGUUAAUCGGAAUUACUGGGCGUAAAGCGCACGCAGGCGGUCUGUCAAGUCGGAUGUGAAAUCCCCGGGCUCAACCUGGGAACUGCAUUCGAAACUGGCAGGCUAGAGUCUUGUAGAGGGGGGUAGAAUUCCAGGUGUAGCGGUGAAAUGCGUAGAGAUCUGGAGGAAUACCGGUGGCGAAGGCGGCCCCCUGGACAAAGACUGACGCUCAGGUGCGAAAGCGUGGGGAGCAAACA